CUUUGAUGGCAAAUUCGAGCUCUGACAGAGGGAAAGAAUGGAGAUCGAUCAACUCCUGUUCAGCCCAGCCCAUUGAAAAGAUUGAAUUCGUGCAGCCAUCAAGGCCUAUGUGACUCACAUGCUUCACAUCUGUCGAUUGGUGCAUCACAACUGGAAUGCUGGAUUCCGAGAUGCAGCCUGCAGCAAAGGGCAGGAGUACGAAUCUCUCCAAUCGAUCCUUCAUGUUGAAACAAGUUAUGAGUUCUGGACACAUAUUGUUAGAAUAUAUAUGCUGCAUAUUGGCUUUAGUUUUAAGUUAUAAUUAUACUGAGGAAUGGGAGUCAAUAUCUACUCAAGUGUAUGACUCCAAGUACGAAAGGUGAUUUGAGUUAAUA